AACGAACGCUGGCGGCAGGCUUAACACAUGCAAGUCGAGCGCCCCGCAAGGGGAGCGGCAGACGGGUGAGUAACGCGUGGGAACAUACCCUUUCCUGCGGAAUAGCUCCGGGAAACUGGAAUUAAUACCGCAUACGCCCUACGGGGGAAAGAUUUAUCGGGGAAGGAUUGGCCCGCGUUGGAUUAGCUAGUUGGUGGGGUAAAGGCCUACCAAGGCGACGAUCCAUAGCUGGUCUGAGAGGAUGAUCAGCCACAUUGGGACUGAGACACGGCCCAAACUCCUACGGGAGGCAGCAGUGGGGAAUAUUGGACAAUGGGCGCAAGCCUGAUCCAGCCAUGCCGCGUGAGUGAUGAAGGCCUUAGGGUUGUAAAGCUCUUUCACCGGAGAAGAUAAUGACGGUAUCCGGAGAAGAAGCCCCGGCUAACUUCGUGCCAGCAGCCGCAGUAAAAC
rnacentral:rRNA from 1 species